UACAGAGGGUGCAAGCGUUGUUCGGAAUCAUUGGGCGUAAAGCGUACGUAGGCGGCUCCUUAAGUCAGGUGUGAAAUCCCAGGGCUCAACCUUGGACGUGCACUUGAAACUGGAGAGCUUGAAUCUCGGAGAGGGUGGUGGAAUUCCCAGUGUAGAGGUGAAAUUCGUAGAUAUUGGGAGGAACACCGGUGGCGAAGGCGACCACCUGGACGAAGAUUGACGCUGAGGUACGAAAGCGUGGGGAUCAAACAGG
rnacentral:rRNA from 1 species